rnacentral:lncRNA from 1 species
CUUUGCUAGAUCUGCUGCUAAAGAGCAGGAAAACGCAGCCACAGAGCACACAGCUGACAAGCUCUAUUGAUGAAAGGCUUAUUUUUUGCAGAGGCUUGUUUUCUAGACAUCGGGGAAAACAGGAAGGAGGGACUGACAUGACUGGUGGACCAGAGAAACCCCCAAGCUGUGACGGCACCACCGCUCCCAAACAACUUCUUU